AGCGAACGCUGGCGACAGGCUUAACACAUGCAAGUCGAGCGGGGUGAUGGUGCUUGCACUAUCACUUAGCGGCGGACGGGUGAGUAAUGCUUAGGAAUCUACCUAUUAGUGGGGGACAACAUCUCGAAAGGGAUGCUAAUACCGCAUACGUCCUACGGGAGAAAGCAGGGGAUCACUUGUGACCUUGCGCUAAUAGAUGAGCCUAAGUCGGACUAGCUAGUUGGUGGGGUAAAGGCCUACCAAGGCGACGAUCUGUAGCGGGUCUGAGAGGAUGAUCGGCCACACUGGGACUGAGACACGGCCCAGACUCCUACGGGAGGCAGCAGUGGGGAAUAUUGGACAAUGGGGGGAACCCUGAUCCAGCCAUGCCGCGUGUGUGAAGAAGGCCUUAUGGUUGUAAAGCACUUUAAGCGAGGAGGAGGCUCUUUUGGUUAAUACCCAAGAUGAGUGGACGUUACUCGCAGAAUAAGCACCGGCUAACUCUGUGCCAGCAGCCGCCGCCG
rnacentral:rRNA from 1 species